UUAUUCUUUUUUUGUUUUUUAUGUAAGGAGGGAAUCCAAUGCAAAUAUAUACAUAUUUAUUUUAAUACAUUUAUUAUUUCUUUAAGAAGAUAACAAAUCAUAAAAAACUAAUUAAUAUUUACUUUAAAUAUAUUCUAAUUACUAUUUAACUUAAACAAAUUUUAAUUGUUUUAAUUAAAUAACUAACAAAAAUGACCAAUUAGAAAUAGAAAAAUGAGUAUGAAUUUGUUCGGAAAAUUA
rnacentral:lncRNA from 1 species